CUCUGUUAAGCUGCUGCUGAAAUGGGGCAGAAGUGAGCCUCCAGAGUUGUCCUGAUCUCUCUCCCUCUCUUCAGUUUUCCACAAAGCUCAAGGCAGAUAUUCUAUGGCUGGAGAAUAUGGGAAACAGUCAAGACUGAAUUUUUCCAGAUACUUGCAGAAAUAAGUUCUGAUGUCAUCUCAGAGCUUUUCUCAGGUAACUGAAGUCAUGCCUAUGAACCUUCCUUGUCAUGGUCCCAGUGAUGGAGAGCCAGUCAGCGCAAUGGUUGGUCUUUGAAGGUGCUUUCCUGUGAAU
ensembl:lncRNA